CAAAAUAUGUCUCCGGUUGAUUAAGCGCGCAUCUACUUGGUCUCCUGGCUUAAAGGGAAACGGAAUGAAAUUUGAUCCAACGUUGGCAAAGAGGUUACCAAGAGGAUGAAUUUUUGGUUGACGCUUCUAACUCUGGCAAACGCACAUGCUACAGAUUACCCGUGGCCUGUAACAUUCGAAACAGCCAUCUUAUUAACCGCUGAUUUAAGGUGCUACGCUGAGAUGUCGAAUGAUAGGAAAUGAACCAGAACAAGCUUAUAGCUUACAGCUGCAUGGCAUGUGAAGAUCGAAACUCACAAGAAUUGUAUCGUUGCUUUCGGUAACUGAGUAGAGCCAUGUAUGCUGUUGUCCUCUUUAAAGCCGCAAUACCCAUGUCAGUGUCACAUGCUCAUUUACCACUGCAGCAUUUUGUCAGGCACAGAGGCGCGUUUAAUGAAUUCACCAUAGGUUAUAUGACACAUCAUUUAACCAACUUGAAUAAAUCUUGACUCGGUUGUUUCUCACA